rnacentral:rRNA from 1 species
CCAAUAGCGUAUAUUAAAGUUGUUGCAGUUAAAAAGCUCGUAGUUGAACUUCGGGGUUUGCUCAUUGGUCAGGCUUAAUUGUCUGCACUGGUGGGAUAAAUCUCUACCUUCUGAGGAACUUUCAUGCCAUUUAUUUGGUGUGAUGGGAAAUCAGGACUGUUACUUUGAAAAAAUUAGAGUGUAUAAAGCAGACUAACGUCUGAAUACAUUAGCAUGGAAUAAUGAAAUAGGACGGACUGAUUCUAUUUCGUUGGUUUCUAGGAUCACCGUAAUGAUUAAUAGGGAUAGUUGGGGGCAUUAGUAUUCAAUUGUCAGAGGUGAAAUUCUUGGAUUUAUUGAAGACUAACUACUGCGAAAGCAUUUGCCAAGGAUGUUUUCAUUAAUCAAGAACGAAAGUUAGGGGAUCGAAGACGAUCAGAUACCGUCGUAGUCUUAACCAUAAACUAUGCCGACUAGGGAUCGGACGAAGUUAAUUUUAUAAUGACGCGUUCGGCACCUUACG